GACGAACGCUGGCGGCGUGCUUAACACAUGCAAGUGGUGCGACGAACCAGGCUUCGGCCUGGGGCAGAGCCGCGAACGGGUGAGUAACACGUGGGCAACCUGCCCUGUUGAUCGGGACAACCCGGGGAAACCCGGGCUAAUACCGAAUGUGGUGCCGGCUCAUGAGAGCCGUCACGAAAGGAAGCUUCGGCCUCCGCGACAGGAUGGGCCCGCGGCCCAUUAGCUUGUUGGUGGGGUAAUGGCCUACCAAGGCAACGAUGGGUAGCUGGUCUGAGCGGACGAGCCGCAGCAAUGGGACUGAGACACGGCCCAGACUGCUCCGGGAGGCUGACGUGGGGAAUCUUUCGCAAUGGGCGACAGCUUGACGCAGCAACGCCGCUGGAGGGAAGAAGGCUUUCGGGUCGUAAACCUCUUUCAGUUAGGACGAAGCUUUAUUGGUUAAUAACCAAUUGGAGUGACGGUACUUUCAGAAGAAGCCCCGGCUAACUACGUGCCAGCAGCCGCCGUAA
rnacentral:rRNA from 1 species